AUUGAACGCUGGCGGCAGGCCUAACACAUGCAAGUCGAACGGUAACAGGGAUCAGCUUGCUGAUUCGCUGACGAGUGGCGGACGGGUGAGUAAUGUCUGGGAAACUGCCUGAUGGAGGGGGAUAACUACUGGAAACGGUAGCUAAUACCGCAUAACGUCGCAAGACCAAAGAGGGGGACCUUCGGGCCUCUUGCCAUCGGAUGUGCCCAGAUGGGAUUAGCUAGUAGGUGGGGUAACGGCUCACCUAGGCGACGAUCCCUAGCUGGUCUGAGAGGAUGACCAGCCACACUGGAACUGAGACACGGUCCAGACUCCUACGGGAGGCAGCAGUGGGGAAUAUUGCACAAUGGGCGCAAGCCUGAUGCAGCCAUGCCGCGUGUAUGAAGAAGGCCUUCGGGUUGUAAAGUACUUUCAGCGGGGAGGAAGAGAGUAAAGUUAAUACCUUUGCUCAUUGACGUUACCCGCAGAAGAAGCACCGGCUAACUCCGUG
rnacentral:rRNA from 1 species